rnacentral:tRNA from 1 species
GCCUUCGUGAUGUAGUGGUCAGCACGCUGGGCGCGUAUUCCAGAGGUCCGUGGUUCGAAUCCUGGCGAAGGUG